AUUGAACGCUGGCGGCAGGCCUAACACAUGCAAGUCGAGCGGAGCGGCGGACGGGUGAGUAAUGCCUAGGAAUCUGCCUGGUAGUGGGGGAUAACGUCCGGAAACGGGCGCUAAUACCGCAUACUAUCAGCUGAGCCUAGGUCGGAUUAGCUAGUUGGUGGGGUAAAGGCCUACCAAGGCGACGAUCAGUAGCGGGUCUGAGAGGAUGAUCCGCCACACUGGGACUGAGACACGGCCCAGACUCCUACGGGAGGCAGCAGUGGGGAAUUUUGGGCAAUGGGCGCAAGCCUGACCCAGCCACGCCGCGUGACUGAAGAAGGCCUUCGGGUUGUAAAGGACUGUUGUCAGGGAAGCGGUACCUGAAGAAUAAGCACCGGCUAACUACGUGCCAGCCGCCGCGGUAAUUC
rnacentral:rRNA from 1 species